CCUACGGGAGGCAGCAGUGAGGAAUAUUGGUCAAUGGUCGGGAGACUGAACCAGCCAAGCCGCGUGAGGGAGGAAGGUACAGAGUAUCGUAAACCUCUUUUGUCAGGGAACAAAGGCGGGGACGUGUCCCCGGAUGAGUGUACCUGAAGAAGAAGCAUCGGCUAACUCCGUGCCAGCAGCCGCGGUAAUACGGAGGAUGCGAGCGUUAUCCGGAUUUAUUGGGUUUAAAGGGUGCGCAGGCGGUCUGUUAAGUCAGCGGUCAAAGCCCGGGGCUCAACCCCGGCCCGCCGUUGAAACUGGCAGUCGCGAGUUGGAGAGAAGUAUGCGGAAUGCGCGGUGUAGCGGUGAAAUGCAUAGAUAUCGCGCAGAACUCCGAUUGCGAAGGCAGCAUGCCGGCUCCACACUGACGCUGAGGCACGAAAGCGUGGGUAUCGAACAGGAUUAGAUACCCGUGUAGUC
rnacentral:rRNA from 1 species